AUAUUUUAUAAUGUUUCUCUUUAAGGUGGAGAAAGGAGAAAUCUCUUUGGAAAAUUUGGAAACCGGAAAACCCCAGGAGUUGUUAUGGGUUGGAUGAGUUUAAAUAGCAGCACUCGCUGAGAAGUGAAAGUUUGUGGAGCAGAUCAGGCAGAACAGGAGGACCAGCUCACAGUGCUGACUCACUUACUGCUGUUAUUACACUGUAACGUUGUAGUUUCCAGAAUGAUCCGGGCCCUGAUCUGGACGUGUCUUCUUCUGUGUGCGAUGGUUCAUAUCACAGUCUGUUGUAAUAAUGACAAAGAGAUUCACUGUCCUAACAUAACAGCUACUGUCGGAGAAAACGUAACACUGACCUGCAGUGUUUCAAAAAACGGCAAUUGUUCAAUGUAUAAAUGGAAGAAGAAUGAAACAAAUUUAACACUUGAAGUGAAAAAAUGCAGCUCAGUUAAUGAUAGAAAAUUUAAUUACACAAUUAAGAAUGCAUCCAUGACAGACAAUGGGACUUAUAAAUUUUGGAUACAGCUGG